GCCCGCUUGGCUUAGUAAUAGAGCGUGUCACUAGUAAUGACAAGAUCGUCAGUUCAAUUCUGGCAGUGGGCA
rnacentral:tRNA from 1 species